GUCUUGACUGUUUCACGUCUAGAGCUUAACUUACUUGUGGACAGAGCCUGACCAGUCUUUAAGUAGGGAACGCAGGUAAUCGGCGACACGACCAACAUGCAACAUGCGACCAUUAAUGCUUUGCCACCACUGUACCAGCAGGCAGGCAAUCUCCGAGGCUCAGAUACGGGGUACGUUUUUUAAAAUGGCGGCGCGUCGGCUGCUGUUGCAGCAGCACCCGCAAUUAACAAUAAUGCAUUUGAGGAAACCUGCAUAUCUAUGGGUGCGGGCGAUAGAAACACUAAACCUCUCGUGCGACAGUUUGCUCCGCGUUUUCCCCUCGGUAGCCGCCGCCCGGUACCUGGUUUAUACGCGCAAACAAAUUAUCUACACCAAGCUUCAUAUCCUACCGCAACAAAGAAAACUGUCUGCACGGACACCACUCGCAAAGGUCUCCUCUUCCCAAAUUUUUAGUAUCACUAAUGGCACAACUAACCUUUUGUUUUGUUCAAUGACGGCCGAAGUUAACUAGACUUGUUAAUAUAUACUUAUUUCACGGGCAAAAUAAAAUUCUUCAAAACGACGCCGACGCCAACACAAAAAAUUUUCAAAGCGUACGCGCUGCUGUAGUACAUCUAGAAAA